rnacentral:lncRNA from 1 species
UUUUAGGAGCUGUCAUCGACCUAGACCUCCGGCUGGUCGGUUGUGAGGCAUGAGGGAGAGGAGGGGCCAGGAGUGUCUCGCGGAAGGGUUGAUGAUGGAGGAGUGCGGCCAGACCGAGGCUGGAGAAAGAGCGCAGCCAGAGACGGAAAGGCAGCCAGGCUGCAGGAUAGUGAUGGGGGCCAAGGGCCCUGCUGCACACUUGGACAGGAUGAACUUGGCCCACAUUUUGUAGAAUCUGCAAAAGCCCCGGGUUCUCUCAAAAUGUCACAGUGGUAACUUGGAGCCCCUGGACUCCCCCAAUUCCUCCUUCGGCAUUCACCCUCCUCCAGGGGUUUCCCCAUAAUUGGCCUGAAUGGUGCCCUUCCCAUUCCCCCAACGUGUCCCUCCCAUAACUCCUCAAAGUUCAGGAUACACCAGGCGCUGUGAUUCACAAUAAAGUCUGCCUUUAUUGAU